UACGUAGGGGGCAAGCGUUGUCCGGAUUUACUGGGCGUAAAGAGCGCGCAGGCGGUCGUUCAAGUCGCGUGUGAAAGCCCCCGGCUCAACUGGGGAGGGUCACGCGAUACUGAUCGACUCGAAGGCAGGAGAGGGUAGUGGAAUUCCCGGUGUAGUGGUGAAAUGCGUAGAUAUCGGGAGGAACCCCAGUGGCGAAGGCGACUACCUGGCCUGUUUCUUGACGCUGAGGCGCGAAAGCUAGGGGAGCAAACGGG
rnacentral:rRNA from 1 species